rnacentral:rRNA from 1 species
UGCUAUGGCCAUGCUACUCUGAACAAGCCCGAUCUCGUCUGAUCUCGGAAGCUAAGCAGGGUCGGGCUUGGUUAGUACUUGGAUGGGAGACCACCUAGGAAGACAGGGUGCUGUAGGCG